UUGGUUGUUGAGCAGGAGAAAAGAAGGUGGAUGUGGCAGCCAUGGUGCAGCUCUUUGGCUACGUGGAUGUGACCGACACUGGCUUCAUUGUGGCUGUCCUCUCAAUCGCCUUCAACCCUUUCUUCUGGAAUGUGCCAGAUGGGAGCACAAAACACGAGCACUCAGCCAAGUCUUCGGCUCUCCCCAUGCUGCCUGUUACUGCCUGGGUGCUGUGAUCCUGGUGCUGAACUGUGUGCGGAGCCACUGAAGCCAUGAAGAGCCAGCCGAAGCUGGAGGGAUGGGACUGCCACUGGACCUACUACUCAGGCUUGGCCAUCUCGGCUGUAGGGACCUUGUUUGUCAUCUCCAGCUUCUUAGCACUGGGAUUCACGGGGACCUUCCUAGGUGAUUACUUUGGCAUCCUGAUGGAGGAAAAAGUGACCAGCUUCCCCUUCAGCAUCCUGGAUAACCCCAUGUACUGGGGCAGCACAGCCAUCUACCUGGGCUGGUCCCUCAUCCCAGCUGGCCUUUUGCUGACAGCUGUAGUGGCAAUUUCCUACACAAUCGCUGUGCUGUAUGAGGGGCCUUUCACAGAGGAAAUCUAUCGGAGGAAGCAGAAGGGAGUGAAGGGCAAGUAGCCCCAGGGCACUCUCUGGGGUACCUCGUGCCUCUCCGGUCCCCACACUGUCUGAUUUGCCCAUUUUCCUGAGAUGUAUCCUACUAAUUAACCCAGCAACCCUUAAUGAGCCGACUGAGCUCCCUGCAGCACUGGAAGUGACCAGAGGAACAGCCUGAGCGUGGUGGCAGCUCCUUGCCACAGCCUGUGGGAGAUGGAGGUCCCUGUCCCCAGGGCUCUGUCCAGGUCCUGCAGCUCCUGAUGCUCUCCUGGGAGUUCCACAGCAUGGGACCUGCCCACCUCUUCUCCCACACGGAUUACUGGAGAUCUACAGGCAAAAAUGAAUUCCCUUUGGACUGGAGGGAAAGCAGAGUAAUGAUGGAAACACAGGGGGGCUUUCAUAAGUGGGCUCUGGGCAUAUGGAAGCACCAGCUCCAGCUGAUCCUGAAGAUCUUCUGAAGGUGCUGCCACAGAGCCACGAGAAGCAGACAAAGCUCAGGUCCAGCAAUGGAGAGAGCUCAGGAGCCCCUGAGGAUUCAAACACAGAUGGGGAAGGAACAGGGGGAAACUGCUGUGAGCUGAACAACAGCAAAACCUGCUGCAAACCCAAAAACCAGCCCCUUCUUUUUUUGGGAAAGGAACGUCCCCAUCCAGAGCUGCAUUUCCCACCCGCGCAGAGCCCUGCAGCAUCUCCACACUAUUGCAGAGGCUCUAAGUGACUGAAAAGCACAGGAGUGAGAAUGUGUGACCUAAAGCACAUCCCAGUGGCACGGAGGGGUGGCAGCUGUCCUGUGGGGAAGCCCCAGCAUGGAGAAGAUCCAGGGGAAGAGUCAGUCCCUGUCUGCACUUCACAGAUAUCCCACCCCUGGCCGUGUUGGUGCCACAGCCCCUCCUUUUCCCUGGGUCCACAUGAGGGUCCUGCUGCCUUUCCCACCACCCAGUGCCUUCCAGCUGUUUUCCACGGUCCUGCAGGGGCAGUGGGAGGGAGGGAGGAGAGGGCAGGGUUUGUUUCUGCCUUCCACACCGUGCAGCAGCCAGGUACGGAUGUGCCCCUCCGCCCCUGCCACCAGCCUGUCCCAAAAUUGUCCAGUUCUGAAUCCUGCCUUGAACAGAAAGAUUCCAGAGGUGGUGCUCCAGCCCCAGGCUCUGUUUUCACAGAUUCCCAGAACGGUUUGAGAAAUAAAGUGUGAAUGAGCAGAGGAGCAGGUGCUGGAGCUGGAGCUGUGCUGCUGCCAGCUCCACUGGAACGUGGCACCACAUCUCAGCAUCACACUGUCCCCUCCACAGAGGGUUCUCCCUCUUCUCAGUGUCACCUCCAUGAAACAGUUCCAUUUCCUUUUGCUUUCCCACCUUGUAAUUAACCCACUCAGCAGAAUUAAAAGUGUUGGUCUCUU
ensembl:lncRNA